GACCCGUUAUUUUUUCCAUCGCAACCCGCGUGUCUGUGUGGUUGACACUGUCGCCCUCCUCCUCCGAGCCGAACACGCAACCCCGAACAGAAUCGAACGAGAGAGAGAUAGCCAUGGCGAUUUGGAGCUCCGCCUCACCGCUCGAUCCAGUGUUUUGGUGGUGACUCGUCCGCGCUCUCCCUCGUGCUUCCCCGCUUCCUCCGCCUCCCUUCUGUUCCUGCCGGCGGGAUCUGCGGCAUCUCUCGGCCCCGCACCGAUCCGUCCCCAUUUCCGCCGCUGGCGAUUUUGUUCGUCGGAUUCAGUCCCCCCCUCCUCCCUUUUUGUUGUUCUUGUGAUCUGUUAGGUAGGGAGUUGGUUUUGUCUGUCAGAUUUGAUGAUUGUAUCCAUCCCCCGCAGCUUUUUUCCGUGUAGAUUUGUUUAGGUUGCACCGUUUCUGGGAUGCGUUUGAUUGUUCUGCUAAGCGUGGUAGCUUCCGUAGCUGGGAUGUGUGUCAGUUCGAUGUGCUGAUCUAUAAUUGAUUGGAUGUUGGAGUCCGAGUUGUUCAUGUGAGGCUGGCUUGCUUAGUUGUAGUACUCUGAUGUAUUCAGUCAAUUCGAACGGAUGUAUUCUGUUCCCUGGCCUUUAAUCCCUAGACCAUUUCUCUUCACUGGUAUUGUUUCGUGGGUAUGUGGUUUACUCUGUAAUUUCUAUUUUGGAUUUACAGUGCAAUCCCCAUUGUUUUUUAAAAUGAUUUUCAGUGUAAUUCAUACUGGAUUUUCAUUGAUUUUCACUGUAAUCCGUACUGAAUUUCCAGUGUAAUUUUCUUGUGGAUAGGUAGUAUAUUUGUAGUGUAAAUCCAAAGCAAUUUGUAGUGUAAUCCCCGGUUAUUUUACAGUGUAAUUUCAGUGUAUUUGCACUGUAUUUGCUAGUGGAAUAAUAGUGUAUAUGUCUUAAUUGCAGUGUAUUUUUGUCAGUGGGGUUGCACUGUAUUUGUUAGUGGAAUUACAAUGUAUUUGUUAGUGAUGUACAGUGUAAUUUGAUAGCUGAUUUACAGUGUAAUUGCCAUGGAUUUGCACUGUAUUCGCUAGUGGAAUUACAGUGUAAUUCACUUGAAUUUUUAUUGUGGAAUUGCGUUUUGGAUUUACAGUGUAUUUGUCAGCAAAUUUACAGUGUAAUUCAUAGCUGGUUUUACUGUGUAAAUUCAGUGUAAUUUACACUUUAAUUGAGUAGCAAAGGAAUUGUGACUGUUCUUGUGAUGCACCGCUAGUUUGUAUGUUCUUGUGAUGCAUCUGAUUCCAGUGUAUUUUCUUAAGGAUUUAGACUAUAAUUAUAUUCGGAUGUACACUGUAAUCUUCAUCGGAAUUCCAGUGUAUUUUCUUAGUGGGUGAUUACAGUGUAUUUACAAUGUAAUUCUCAGUUGGUUUCCACUGUAAUUCACAUGGGAUUUCUUCACUGUAAUUCUUAGUGGGUUAUGUAGUGAAAUAAAAGAGAUGUAGACUGUAAAUGCUAUCAAUGCAUUUCUUCUUUAUAUUUUUGUUAUGUUUUAUCCCUUUUGCCAUUUCAUCUCAGACAUUUUGUCCUUUUCUUUGUGUUUGUACAUAUUUAGGUUAUAGAUUAAAGUAUGGGGAGACUCAUGAAGGCUUUUGGUAAGGGCACUUAUGCUGCUUGUGUUCAAGAUUGUGAUGAUUCAGAUGGGGAUCCUUUUGUCCCCAAUGAUAUUGCUGAGGAUGAUCCUUUUCAAGAUUCGGAGGAACAUCAAAUGGAUGAUCAUGAUUUCGAGAAAGUCUUAGGCUAUGCUUUUUAGCUGCUUUUUUCUAGUCUGGCUCUGAUAAAGAUGGGGAUUGUUUUCUGCUACUAGAAAGCCAUACGUUAAGGAAAUCAACUUCAUCUUCAUUGAGAUUUGUUCAGGCAGGAGAGAGACGACAGGAGGUGAUGAAUGCACAGGAGA